GUUCCUGUUGCGCAAUGGAUAACGCGUUGGACUUCUAAUCCAAAGGUCGUGAGUUCUAAUCUCUCCUGGAAUG
rnacentral:tRNA from 1 species